rnacentral:rRNA from 1 species
AAGAGGGGGACCCUCGGGCCUCUUGCCAUCGGAUGUGCCCAGAUGGGAUUAGCUUGUUGGUGGGGUAACGGCUCACCAAGGCGACGAUCCCUAGCUGGUCUGAGAGGAUGACCAGCCACACUGGAACUGAGACACGGUCCAGACUCCUACGGGAGGCAGCAGUGGGGAAUAUUGCACAAUGGGCGCAAGCCUGAUGCAGCCAUGCCGCGUGUAUGAAGAAGGCCUUCGGGUUGUAAAGUACUUUCAGCGGGGAGGAAGGGAGUAAAGUUAAUACCUUUGCUCAUUGACGUUACCCGCAGAAGAAGCACCGGCUAACUCCGUGCCAGCAGCCGCGGUAAUACGGAGGGUGCAAGCGUUAAUCGGAAUUACUGGGCGUAAAGCGCACGCAGGCGGUUUGUUAAGUCAGAUGUGAAAUCCCCGGGCUCAACCUGGGAACUGCAUCUGAUACUGGCAAGCUUGAGUCUCGUAGAGGGGGGUAGAAUUCCAGGUGUAGCGGUGAAAUGCGUAGAGAUCUGGAGGAAUACCGGUGGCGAAGGCGGCCCCCUGGACGAAGACUGACGCUCAGGUGCGAAAGCGUGGGGAGCAAACAGGAUUAGAUACCCUGGUAGUCCACGCCGUAAACGAUGUCGACUUGGAGGUUGUGCCCUUGAGGCGUGGCUUCCGGAGCUAACGCGUUAAGUCGACCGCCUGGGGAGUACGGCCGCAAGGUUAAAACUCAAAUGAAUUGACGGGGGCCCGCACAAGCGGUGGAGCAUGUGGUUUAAUUCGAUGCAACGCGAAGAACCUUACCUGGUCUUGACAUCCACGGAAGUUUUCAGAGAUGAGAAUGUGCCUUCGGGAACCGUGAGACAGGUGCUGCAUGGCUGUCGUCAGCUCGUGUUGUGAAAUGUUGGGUUAAGUCCCGCAACGAGCGCAACCC